rnacentral:lncRNA from 1 species
CAUCCUCACUUUAGCAUCUGGUGCUUCUGCUGGAGCAAUGUUAAUUGAAGCUCCGGCAAAGCGAGAAAGCUGCUUGAUGUGCUUGGCCCUGCUUGCCGAUGAUGACACCGACUGAUAGAGCCUGGAUAAACAGAUGAACAGUCUCCGUUUCUGAUUGCUCAAACUGCGGCUUUGGCACAUGCCUCAACAUUGCCUUUAACUGUAAUGGUGCGUUCUGGAUUAUACAGCGUCAAUUCCUGAAAGCACCUUGAUGGCCUUGAGGGCCCAGCUCUCCUCUGGGCAGUCCAUGAACGCAUAGCCAGUCUUCACCAGGAAGGAUCCCAACACUGGGAUCUUGGCGUCCUUGAAGAUACUUUCUAGGUCCAAGGGGACGGCGUUCUCGUGGAGGUUUCCGAUAUACAGUUUGUUCAUUGUGAAGAAUGGUUGUUUAAAAAAAUUAACGAGAAGAACGAGAAAUUAAAACCACCCAUGGUGAUGGAUGGAUCCAGCUGGUUUUGUUGCUCUCAUCUUCUCACCUUUAAAAUACACAAACACAGAAAGAACCAAGCACAAGAACAAGGAGUGAAAAAUCAGAUCCGAGGCUUGUUUUUCCUUGUCCUAGAUAUGUUUUAAAAGAGAAAGAAAAGAAAAAGCCUAGCUACAACCCAAAUGCAUCAACCAGUCUUCCUAAGUCUCGCUUUUGAAUAAUUUUCAAAUGAGAUGUACACCUAAAUUUUAAGAGUGUUUGAGUUUGUGUUUGCUUUAGUGGUGCUUUAUAUCUGUCUGAUUGUAAGCAUAAUGUUCAUGGAAAGAGACUUUUGGUAGGAAUCAAACUGGGACUCUUACAAUGGCUUAAGUCCAUCAGAAUAGUUCUGAUGCUACUUAGGAGCAUCAGAACUCCUUUCUU